rnacentral:rRNA from 1 species
GCAGGUCAAACUCAUCGAAUUCCCGCGGCCGCCAGAAGCUUGCUACGUCGAGCCCUUCGGACUAGUGAGUAGCCUAGGAAUCUGCCUGGUAGUGGGGGAUAACGUUCGGAAACGGACGCUAAUACCGCAUACGUCCUACGGGAGAAAGCAGGGGACCUUCGGGCCUUGCGCUAUCAGAUGAGCCUAGGUCGGAUUAGCUAGUUGGUGGGGUAAUGGCUCACCAAGGCGACGAUCCGUAACUGGUCUGAGAGGAUGAUCAGUCACACUGGAACUGAGACACGGUCCAGACUCCUACGGGAGGCAGCAGUGGGGAAUAUUGGACAAUGGGCGAAAGCCUGAUCCAGCCAUGCCGCGUGUGUGAAGAAGGUCUUCGGAUUGUAAGCAUUUAAGUUGGGAGCACGGGCAUAUGGUAAUACUUUGCUGCCUUGACGUUACCACAGAUAAGCACCGGCUAACUCUGUGCCAGCAGCUAAUACGAAUCGAAUUCCCGCGGCCGCCAUGGCGGCCGGGAGC